AAUGUAUGUUAAGUAGUUGAUGCCAAGUAAUAUUUGAAAUCAAUGAAAAUUCUAAUACGAUAUCUAAUAACUAGGUAAGAAAUAAAUAUAUUUAAUGAAGGUACUUGUGAGUAAAAACAUUGAUUUUUUAUUCAAACAUUUUAUCAUUCAGAUAAAAUUUAAGAAAUUUUACUUUUUUCAUUCAGAUAAAAAUGUCUUAAAAUAAGACUUUAAAUACAAAAAAAAGCUAAAAUACCAAAACAUCUUAAAUUAAGCGAAAUUAAGAUUUCAGACAUAAAAAUAAACAAAUUCUUAGCAUCACUUAACUAGUGAUAACUUUCAAAUUUAGUAAAAUAAAAGAACAAAAAAAUUGGUGAAUUAUUUGGGUUAUUGUUGAUUUUACGUUAGAAUUAUUUUAAAUUAUUUAUCAUUAACAACUAUUUGUAUUUCAAAUAGGCUAAAUUAAAAUUGUGUAUAAAAUGUGAGCCCAAUACAAGCUCGUUUAGACUCUCAAUCUACGUUAGCCCCAUACUUUUACGUCAUGUCAUAUGGAACCUCGACCUAAUAUUUGUAUCAUACCUAGGGAUGGCAAUGGGCACCGCCUGCAGCGGGUUUGCCAUUACCAAACCCAAACCCGCACAAAAUUUAAAUUACCAAACCCACUCGCAACCUGCAGUGGGUUUUUAUUUUUUUAAAAAAAAACCACCUGCAGCGGGUUUUAACACUUACCAAACCCGCAAUGGUACCCAGCGGAUUUUUUACGGGUUUUCGUAUUUAAAAUCACAAAUAUUUGAUAUAUAAAUUUAUAAUAAUAACCUCAAAUUUCAUAUAACAUACUCAAUUUUAUAUUUAAACAAUGUAAAUGAAAAAUUAAAAUUUCAACAUCAAUCCAACACAAAUUCUCAAAUUUAAGUAUAAAUUACACAAAUCCAUUUAAAAAACACAAACUAGUAUUUAAAAAUAAUAAUUACAUUUCAUAUUAUCAUUUAAAAAUAAUGAAUAUCUGAGAGAAGAUAUUCAUUUCAUUCACCACCAUAAGCACCCAUCCAACACAAUGCUUAUAAUAAUAAUUAAGAUUAAUAUUAAUAUUUUCAAAUAUUAAUUCGAAGGGAAAUGCCUUUAGUUUUCUUUAGGUUAUGACUUUAGAAUGGGAGAUGGGCCACAUACACACAUACACAACUUUGAACAUUUGGCUAUUUGGUAAUUUGAAUAAUGACAUUAUUUUCUUUAUACAUUUUUAGAUUAAAAUUAAAUUAAAAAUAUUUGGAAAAAAUAUUGUGGGUUUGGUGGAUAUCUAUGCGGGUAUCCACUGGAUAUAAGGUUAAUACCAAACUCAUCCGCAUUCAUGUGCGGGUUUUAGUUUAUAAUACUAAACCCACCCGCAACGGGUAAAAUUACCAGCAGCGGGCGGGUUUUGGCGGGUGGAUUUGGGCGGGUUUACGGGUACAAUUGACAUCCCUAAUCAUACCUUACUGAGAGAAAAGUCUCUUAUGAGUGGAGUGGCAUUUCAAUGUUCCAAUAAUACACUCAGUCUGGUUCCUUCAGGUUCAAGCAAUUAUUUGUCGCUUGGCUGAACAACUUCUGGACUAGGCAAUGGGUCGGCUUGGGCUCAAAUUGGGCCAAGCAUUCACUUGAUCCUAUGAGUAAAAUGAACAGCCCUAAUUUUUCGAAAAGCCCGACCUUUAUCGAGUUGGGGUCGGACUUUAUCUGAGCCCGACCAUAAUUAUUUUUAGUUUUUUUCUUAAUUUUUAAACUUUUUUAAAAUAGGAAUCUAAUUCUUCAUUCUUGAUUAAUAAUAAUAUCAUUAUUGUUCUAUUUUUAUGUUGAAAUUGGUUGUAAGGAAUUUAAUAAAUUUUUAUUUUUAUUUCGCUAUAACAACAAUACAACAUGUAACGAUUUAACCAAAUUAACAAUUAAAUAAGUCAAAUACAAAAUAGUAAAAUAGUAUGAAAUAGAAACAAAUAUUAGUGGAGUGAGUUGUAACCACGUGUAUGACAUAGGUGUUUUAACUUUAAGUGUUAUAAUUUUUUAAUUUUAAAAGUGAUCAAUGGUUGGGUCUGGGCUUUUUGGUAAGGCCCUAACCCUGACCUGAAUGUAAUUUGACUUUAUUUUUUGAGUCUUAAUCCAACAUUUAGCCCAUUAAGUUUGGGGCCAAAACCCUUAAAAUUAGGGUGGGCUUAAAUAGGUUAAGGGUAGGAUUGUAUCCUUGUCCCAUCCCUAUCUAGACCUAUUUCAAUUUCUUCUCUAUAAUAAUAAAAAAAAAACUACUGAGAUUGCUAGUUUUAGACUUAUAGGGACUAUAAAAUUGUAUAUUUUAGUGACAAACUAAUAAGAAGAUGAUAGUAAAAAAUAUUGUAACAGAGCAUCCUAGAAUUUUCUACCAAGUCUUGUCACUUCUUUCACACAUGAACCAAAUAAGAGAUGACAAUGCCCAAGUCCAAGAAUUAUUAGGGAUGGCAAAACUCCAAGUUCAGGUAUGACAAUGCCCGAACCUAAUCUGAAUAUUAUAUA
rnacentral:lncRNA from 1 species